rnacentral:rRNA from 1 species
UGGCGAACGGGUGAGUAAUAUAUCGGAACGUGCCCAGUAAUGGGGGAUAGCCCGGCGAAAGCCGGAUUAAUACCGCAUACGACCUACGGGUGAAAGCAGGGGAUCGCAAGACCUUGCGUUAUUGGAGCGGCCGAUAUCAGAUUAGCUUGUUGGUGGGGUAAAAGCCCACCAAGGCGACGAUCUGUAGCUGGUCUGAGAGGACGACCAGCCACACUGGGACUGAGACACGGCCCAA